rnacentral:rRNA from 1 species
UGGGGAAUAUUGGACAAUGGGCGAAAGCCUGAUCCAGCCAUGCCGCGUGUGUGAAGAAGGUCUUCGGAUUGUAAAGCACUUUAAGUUGGGAGGAAGGGCAGUAAGCGAAUACCUUCCUGUUUUUACGUUACCGACAGAAUAAGCACCGGCUAACUCUGUGCCAGCAGCCGCGGUAAUACCGAGGGUGCAAGCGCUAAUCGGAAUUACUGGGCGUAAAGCGCGCGUAGGUGGUUCGUUAAGUUGAAUGGGAAAGCCCCGGGAUCAACCUGGGAACUGCAUCCAAAACUGGCGGGCUAGAGUAGGGCAGAGGGUGGUUGAAUUUCCUGUGUAGCGGUGUAAUGCGUAGAUAUAGGAAGGAACACCAGUGGCGAAGGCGACCACCUGGGCUCAUACUGACACUGAGGUGCGAAAGCGUGGGGAGCAAACAGG